rnacentral:tRNA from 1 species
GGAGGCGUCGCCUAGUCCGGUCUAUGGCGCCCGCCUGCUAAGCGGGUUGAGGGUUACAACCCUCUCGCGAGUUCAAAUCUCGCCGCCUCCG